rnacentral:lncRNA from 1 species
UCCUCGGUCAGUUGCUCGACCUUCUGCUCUUCCGCCUCAAGAUCCACCUGCAGAACUCUUGACAUAUCAGUGGCAGCCUGUUUUGCAUUCUUGGCGACAAGCGCAGUGUAACGGGCAGUUUCAGGCAUCUUCAUCCUCCAGUAGUAGGUAAGGGCAGCGGGAAGCGCUCCAACCAUUACAAUUAUACGCCAAACGUAGUCAGCUUGCGGGACAGUUGAGGCAAGUGCAUCAACCUGGUAAGCUGGAGCAUCAAACCUGGCCUUAAAUGCAGAUGAUAUAAUUAUAGCAAAUAUGCCACCAGCCAAAAUUCCAAAACCUUGCAUAGCAAAGACUGCAGCAAUGAAGGCGCCACGAGUCUUCUUGUUAGCAUAUUCAGACAUGAUGGUGGCAGACAGUGGAUAGUCACCUCCAAUACCAAACCCGAGCCAGAAACGAAAGAAGCAAAGGGUCGACAUGACAGCCUUAGCAUCACGGCUAAAAGAAAGACCCGAGGCAACCGAACAUAUGACCAUGAGCAUAAGAGUCAUACCAUACACUUUCUUCCUUCCCAUCUUGUCACCAAGCCAGCCAAAGAAGAGCUGGCCAGAAAGAGUUCCACAGAACGCCACACCAUUAACAGCUGCCGCUACAUUGGGAGGCAAACUACCAGGCUUCUCUGCUCCAUCGACAUGGUAAUAUAUGCGGCCAAGCAAUUUGGUGACAAGGGAUAUGCAGAAGAGGUCAUAGGCAUCGGUGAAGAAUCCCAUGCCAGCAAUAAUAAUUGCGGUGAAGUGAUACCAUUGUGUUUUUGCCACAUCAAGCGCAUUGAGAACCUGUAAUUCCUUGGCCAUGAUCACCUAGCUUAUCUAGGAAAAUGCCUUUCCUUGCUCUCUCUGUUCUCUGCAAAACUCUUGACCAGAGUUUUGUGAGAAAAACGGACAAAAAAGAGGGAGAGAAAACUCUUGACUAGAGUUUUGUGAGAAAAACGGACAAAAAAGAGGGAGAGAAGAGCUAGAAAGAAAGAAAUUGAUUAAGAAGCUCGUUUGGUUCAAGAAAGAUGGUGUUUCUUGAAUAUUUAAGCGACGAGCACCCCUUAAAUUCUUAAUAAAGCAGCGAAGGCAGGCAAAUAUACCACGGGCAUAUUCCCCCACUCUUUUCGCCCGCCCUCUUUCCUCGGUCAAUAUCCUUUUUCGUUUACGUUGCGUUUAUGUUCAUCCCAUUUACACCUGCAAUGAUAACUUUACCUCUAUUUCGUUGGCUACAACUAUUAUUCGAACUAAAAAAAGUCGUCUUCGUCUUCUUCUACUUCUUCAAUUAUUAUCAUUAUUACUAUUAUUAUAGAAUUUGUGGUUUAUUAAUUUUAGUGAAAGUUACAAGAGUGUUGAGCAAUUGUAGACGUUUGGUUCCCUUAUUUCAAGUUAUAUAGAUUUCAGUUAAAUUGAAUUUAUUUUCUAUAACUAAAUUAAAAUUAUCAAACACUCGAAGUAUGAGGAGACAAUCACCAUGAACAAAGGUCCAUAGCCAUGACUUCUCUUUCUCCUAGCUUGCACGAGUCAAAGCAACAGUCCUGGUGAGAGGAGGAGGGUGACAAUGAAACAUUCUAGUCAUUCCAUGUGGUUGGUCACCAUUACGGAUAUAUCUCUUAAAAAUGGUCUGGCAGGUAAGGGAUGGACAAUCAUUAAUAAUUUGGUUCCAAUUUUUGUUUGCUGUAAUUUGAUUAUUAUCAGUGUCUUCUUGAUAGUUUUGUGUAUAAUACUUUUUAAUUGAAAAUAUAUUAUAAAUUUUUUAAAAUAUUUUUAUCAUUAAUAUAUUAAAUUUAUUAAAAAACAUAUAAAAAUAUCGAUUUGAUAUUUUUUUAUAUAAAAACAAUUUUAAAAAGAGGGCCAUCGUGUAACAUGUGCUAUAUUGUUUAUGAUGUUACUAUCCUUAAUUUGAAUGUGUGUGUGUUUGUGUAUAUAUAGAAACACACACACACAGAAAAUCAGCAAACCAAUUUCUUUUUUUCUUUAUUUGUUUAUAACAUUGUUCUGUUAGCCUGUUACAUAGUAAUGUUUAUAUUGUUAAUCAUUCAGAUAAUAUGAGUAUUUCUAACUUUCAAUGUUUGAGAUAUCUAUUAAAAAAAAUUAAAAAUUGUAUAUAAAAGGUAAGUGUUAAUUCAAAAGGCUUAAUUCUAAUGUUUAAUUAAGUAAAUAUUAACUACUAAAAUGUUAACUAUUCACUUAUUUUGGAAGAUUUAGAUUAAGAAAAUGAUGAAUUAUAUUAAAAAGGACAUGAAAGAACUAAUUCCAUUCCAUAGAUUUGAUACUAUUUGUGUUUCAAGACUCUGGAUUGUGGGCAAUUCAUAGGGAGAUUUUGUGGCUUGAAAUUUAUGCGAAAGGAAAACUAAGGCGUAGUUUCAUGGCGAUUAUGCAUGUAUUUGUAUUUUAAUUUUUAAUUAGUGACUUUGAUGCCAAUAUUUUCACCCAUUAACGUCAAGUGAUAAAUUACAUGUGCAAUUAAAGUUGAUAGUUAAACCAUCUAGUAGAUGGUUUAAUAGUAAAAUAUUUGGGAUUAAGAAAUUUUUUUUUUCUCUGAUUUCAGGUUCGAACUUUGUAAUUGCUAAUAUGAUAGCUAUUAGAAGUUUAUAUGAUUGUUAACUUUAUAGCCCAUGAGAUUAGUCGGGGUAUAUACAAACUGAUCCAGACACCUACGUUAAUAAUUAAAAAAAAAGUUGAUAAUAAAGAUUUCCAUUUCCAUAUGUUAUUUCUAUUGCACUAUAUCAUUUAAAUUACAUCAAUUUUAUAAUUAUUGAUUUGUGGCUCAACUUAAAUUGGAUGAUAUAACCAGUGAUGGGUAUUUAUGAAAUACCGAAAUUUCUUCGAAAUGGCAAUUAUAAUUAUGAGGGAAUGUUCUCAAAUAAUAAAUAAAUAAAUAAAAAAUAUGCCUCCUAAAUUCCACAUCACCAUGGAGUCAUUUCCAAUUCAUUUAGACUUUGUUUCUGAAAAUUCCAAGUGCAUUUUAAAGAGUUCAGGUCAGAUUUAUAACUUGAAAGAAUCAAACUACCUAACAGGUUAGGCAAAGUGUGAACCUUUUGCAAGUCAUCAUUAAGAGUUUUCGGCUACUGAAAGCUACGUAGCUUGUCUUGUUAGAUUCUGGAAAUUAGUCAAAGGUUCUUAAAUGGAGAUGGUGGUUCACGAUUCACACGCAAUUUAUUAAGGCAGAUGCAAAAAAUCUGCAAGUGAUUUGCAGGAACAAUUAAGCCUACAAUCAUGCCUUGUAAUUUAAUACAGAUAUACUCUAUCCAUAAAUAAUUUUGAUAGCUGUAAUCUCUCCUCAGAUGGAUCUGUAAGUUAGUAUAAAAACAACAUGCUAAGCAUCAAUAAAAUUAUAUUGAAAAUUCUAUCGUAAGCUUCUGGAUAAUAUCACUCUUCUAUAUGAUUCCUGGUACUUGUGCCAUAAUUGAUGCUCGGAGGCUGCUGGCUGGCUCUUAACUGUUAAGUCGUCGGUAAAUUUAGUGUAGCUGGGAUAGCCACCCAAAACCCACAAUCAGAUUCGAUAAUUUAAUGUCUUUUUCAACACAAACACACGGAAGCAACUGAAGUAAAAGGAAGUUUCGUUACCUCUUCAUGAGGCAAAAAGGUACUAAUUAGGAGAAAGAAAUUGACAUGUAUCAGGGAGGAUUUAAAGGGUCUUCAGAAUUUUCGUUCAAGUGGUCACCCUGUAAAGAUUUGUAUCAUUGCCUCGCAAUUACUCUUGCAUAGAUUGGUUGAUCGAAUUUCAAAGUCAAAAAAAUGGGGGUGUUCAAGUAGGUGAAGACAAAGAAAUGGGGGUGUAGAAGUAGGUAAAGACAAUUACUUGGAAAAAUUAAAUGGUAAGAGUGUUUGAGAGUUUGGUAAUGGUUGGUUUUUAUUGGGUUUUUUUAUUGUGAAAAUAUAUUAAAAUAAUUUAUUUAUUUAUUUAAAGAAAGGUCUUUUGAAACGCCCCUAAUUCUCGGAAUGAGUUUUAUUUCUUAGUUCUUUUUUUCCACGUGCGACAGUAUUAGGAAUUGACUUUUGAACCCUGGUGCACGUCUAUGUCAAAACGAAAGUCCAGCUAAACUUCUAAAGUAUGGAAUCAUUCACACUUCACUUUCGAGGACAUCGCAGAUAAAAACAAGAACGAUGCAAGAAAUCAAAAUAAGCUAAGGAAAUGGAGGACAUGUCCAUGUGGUUAGAAUCGAUUGCAAAGCAAAGGCUACACUCAUCAUCACAAUAGCGUUUCAACAAUGUCUUCUUUUGACGUCGCAGCAAGUUGAAGUGACAUAAAAGAGACCUGAUUUACUCGGUAACUUGCAAGACUGAGGAAGACAGGGAAGGGGGAGAGACACACGAUAACAAGAAGAGGUAUAUUGAAAAAUAUAUCAAGAGUUUAGCUAACUUGUACUAGAGAACUGGAUAAAGAAAACAUUUAAACCAACGGUACUGUCCUGUUAUAUGAACUUUGCUCCACAUUUGGCACCGACCCCUCAUCAGUCUCAUUCUCUCCAGACAUCUCCUCUAAGGAUUUUCCAUUUGAUUCAGGGACCAAGAAAGUAAACAAUAUGCCGAAGAAGUUGACGACACCGAGGACAAGGAGUGAAUUCUUCACACCGAUACCUGCAGGGUACCCUGCAUCGGCCUUGGCCUUGUCCUGGUUCUGUGCCAAAUAUAAGAACCCGAAUGCACCCACAAUUGCUCCGAGCUUCCCAGAAGCUGCUGAUAUACCGUGGCAAGUGGACCUUAACCUCGCAGGGAAAAUCUCGGCUGGUACAACAAAUGUGGUGGCAUUAGGUCCAAAGUUUGCAAAGAAGAAGGUCAAUGAGUAGAUAACCACGAAUCCAAUUCGGUUGUCCUUCUGGGUCCAGUGGUUGUAAGGAAUGGCCAGCGCAAACAUGAACACUGUCAUGAAGAAGAAACCCAUCAAUUGGAUUGCAAACCGUCCUAUUCUGUCGAUAAAAGCCACUGUGAACCAGUAGCCUGGGACAGUACUGCAUAGAGCGAUUAGUGUUUGCGCCCUCGCAAUUCUAUAAACCUCAUCGAUGGCAUUCAUGGUCUGUGCUUUGGGAAUCCAUCCGAUCGCGCUAAAUAUAUCCUUUUGGAAAAGAUUUUGGCUGUAGAAUGCAAUGUCAAGCAAGAACCACGUGGUAGUUGUUCCAAGCAAAUGGAGUCCAUGGCGAUGAAGGAACUUUUUUGUGAACAGACCAAAUUGAUUGGACUUGUCCUCGGUCAGUUGCUCGACCUUCUGCUCUUCCGCCUCAAGAUCCACCUGCAGAACUCUUGACAUAUCAGUGGCAGCCUGUUUUGCAUUCUUGGCGACAAGCGCAGUGUAACGGGCAGUUUCAGGCAUCUUCAUCCUCCAGUAGUAGGUAAGUGCAGCGGGAAGAGCUCCAGCCAUUACAAUUAUACGCCAAAUGUAGUCAGCUUGUGGGACAGUUGAGGCAACAGCAUUAACCUCGUAAGAUGGAGCAUCAAACCUGGCCUUAAAUGCAGAUGAUACAAUUAUAGCAAAUAUGCCACCAGCCAAAAUUCCAAAACCUUGCAUCGCAAAUACUGCAGCAAUGAAGGCACCACGAGUCUUCUUGUUAGCAUAUUCAGACAUGAUGGUGGCAGAGUGGAUAGUCACCACCAAUACCGAACCCGAGCCAGAAACGAAAGAAGCAAAGGGUCGACAUGACAGCCUUAGCAUCAUGGCUAAAGAAAGACCCGAGGCAACCGAACAUAUGACCAUGAGCAUAAGAGUCAUACCAUACACUUUCUUCCUCCCCAUCUUGUCACCAAGCCAGCCAAAGAAGAGCUGCCCCGACAGAGUUCCGCAGAACGCCACACCAUUAACAGCAGCCGCUACAUUGGGAGGCAAACUACCAGGCUUCGCUGCUCCAUCGACAUGGUAAUAUAUGCGGCCAAGCAAUUUGGUGACAAGGGAUAUGCAGAAGAGAUCAUAGGCAUCGGUGAAGAAUCCCAUGCCAGCAAUAAUAAUUGCAGUGAAGUGAUACCAUUGUGUUUUUGCCACAUCAAGCGCAUUGAGAACCUGUAAUUCCUUGGCCAUGACCCCUAGCUUAUCUAGGAAAACGCCUUUCCUUGCUCUCUCUUUUCUCUGCAAAAAUUGAAACCGGAUUAAAAACCAUGCAAUAUCACAAGGAUCCUUAGAUGAUAAUCGAAAAUUUAAAUGAGUUUGCUAAAGAGCCGGUGAUAAUUGAAAUUCCAAAUGGCGUCACCAAUAAAAACAGAACACAGAAAAACAAACAAACAAAGAAAGCCAUUCUCACUCUUCACGUUACUUGGGGACGGUAGGACUAAUUCUCAAGGCAGCAAUAAAAUACGUAGAUUCUAAUUUUGCUAAAUACAAGUAUUGGAUUCUUUCACACAAUUUUUUAUACAAUGAAGAAAACAGCAUAUACAAAGAUUUUUCGGAAGAAGUAUCCUGUUAGUCAAUGGUAGGUCCAACAUCUACUCUAUUUCUAAUCACCUCACUUAAUUUAUCUUUCUGGAGAGCAAGGAGCAGUGUAUGAGACAAGUGAAAGAAAGUAAAAGACACAAGUAGAGACAAAAGAGCAGUUCCUCUAUUUCACACAGAUCUUUGUGGUGGUAACUAUGAAACAUACAAAUAAAUAAAUAGCCCAUUAAUCUUCUAGAAAGUAAAAACUUCCAUGACGAUAGGAAAUUUAAAUUAAAAGACAAGGAGAACUCAUAGUAGCUAAUAAGAAAUCUCUGCAAGAAAAUCUAAAUUUAAAGAGAGAAAAAAUAAGAGCAGGGGUAGAAAAGAAACACCUCUACUAUUUGAUAAAUCGAAAGUACUGUUAACCAAAAUUAUCAAGCUACACAAGUGGAUUCAGGCAGGAUGGAUGGACAAGAAGUAUUAUUAUGUUUUUUCAACAAAACAAGAACAUGGGAGAGAGUUUCCUUAAUUACUCUACGUAGAGUUUUAAAUAGUAAUAUCAAAUAAUUAAAAGCUUUGAUUCUCACAAGAACAUUUAUUUAAAGUGAUGCUUAGCUUUUCCAAGUGAUGGGGUGAGAUCCUAGAAUCAGACUAGUAAUAAUAAAUUAAUUAAGAAGAUCAACCGGCGAUUAUGGCAGCAUUUGUGGACCAAAAAAAUCAAAACUGAAUCACAAUUUGCAGCAAGGAAGUUGAAAUAUAGAUCCAGACUGGUCUCAACUGGCAAUACUUGAUAUGAGAUUUGAACCUAAAUCGUUUCUUAAUUAACAUUUGUCAGAAAAAAAAAAUAUGUAUAUGGAGAAAGCGAAAAAACCACGAGUAUAACAAAAUUUGUAUAUUUUCGUUUUUUUGCCUCCCUCUUUUGCACUCAUGAGAGAAACUCAAGAAAUGACAAGAAGACAAGGCGAGAGAACCCCAUAAAAGAGAGAGCUUUAAUUUGCACACAAACCUUCCUGCCUUCAAGAACUUGCUGUACUCUUUCUCGAGAGAGUGAGGAGGGGACAAAAAGGAGGGAAAUAAAAAGGUGGAAAAAGAAAUUGAUGAAGAAGAAUGCUGUGGUUCAAGUAAGAGGGUGUUUCUUGGAUAUAUAUACAAGUAAUAAAGCGGCAAAGGGAUGGAAAUAUACCUCUCUGCCCUCUUCCCUCGGUCAGCAACCCACACGCUUUUCCAUUUCCCUUGCCGUUUUAUCUACUUCGACACUUGCAGUAAUAACUUCGCCUAAAAAAUCUUAUAUUAUUUAUUUUAUUGGAAGUUGUCAGUGUUCUGGCCAAUUGGAUCGAAGUAAAGGCUUUCUUUCCUUAUGCCAAGCUAUCAGUUAAAUUAAUUUACUAAAUUAUGUAAACGUAAGAUGAUCGACGGCUUGUCUUGGAGUCAGCUGGAACAGUCACCAUGAACCGUGGUCCAUAGCCAUGAAUGCUCUUUCUCCAAGCCUGCACCAGUCAAAGAGUUGUCCUUUCUAACAGUUCUAGCGAGCGUGGGAGGGGGUGAGAAGGAAACUCUAGUUUUUGUUCCACGUAGUCGUCGGUCAACAUUUUGGACAUUAAUUUGAGUUAAAAAGUGGUCUGAAUUUCGUGGAUGGAGGCAUAGUUAUUAAGCCCGAUCCGGGGUUGACCCGGCAAGGGACCGGGUCUCGGGUUUCAUGGGUCAACCCGGGUUGACCCAUAAUAAUUUAAAAAAAAAUUAAUAUUUCAUAUGAAAAAAUUCAUGUAAAUAUAGAUUAUACAUAUAAAUAAUGAAGUUUAAAAUAAUAUUUUAAAAAGUUUUUUAUCCCAUAUUAAAAAGAUAUUAUGUUAAGCUUUUAAGUUGAAGUAUUUAAAUUAAAAAAGUUUUUUAUUCUACAUUGGAAAAACAUAACUUUUUUCAUGGGAACAUAGAGUAUAUAUAUGAAAGGGCUUCAAAUCCCACAUUGAAAAUAUAUUAUGUUAUCCCUUUAAGUUGAAGUAUUUAAACCAAAAGGUUUUUUAUCCCACAUUGAAAAAACAUGAUUUUUUCCUUGAGAACAUAGAGUAUAUAUACUAAUGGGUUUCAAAUCCACAUUGAAAAAAUAUAACUUUUUUCAUUGGAACAUAGAGUAUAUAUAUGAAAGGGCUUCAAAUCCACAUUGAAAAGAUACUAUGUUAUCCCUUUAAGUUGAAGUAUUUAAACCAAAAGGUUUUUUAUCCACAUUGAAAAAACAUGAUUUUUUUCUUGGGAACAUAGAGUAUAUAUACUAAUGGUUUCAAAUCCCACAUUGAAAAAACAUAACUUUUUUAUGGAAACAUAGAGUAUAUAUAUAAAAGGCUUCAAAUCCCACAUUGAAAAGAUACUAUGUUAUCCCUUUAAGUUGAAGUAUUUAAACCAAAAGGUUUUUUAUCCCACAUUGAAAAAACAUGAUUUUUUCCUUGGAAACAUAGAGUAUAUAUACUAAUGGGUUUCAAAUCCCACAUUGAAAAAAUAUAAUUUUUUUCAUGUGAACAUAGAGUAUAUAUAUGAAAGGGCUUCAAACCCCACAUUGAAAAGAUAUUAUGUUAUCAUUUUAAGUUGAAAUAUUUAAACAAAAUUUUUUUUUAUCCUACAUUUAAAAAAAAAAAAAAACCCGGGUCUCGUCCGGGUUUGCCCGGGUCACCCGGGUCCCAGGUCGACCCACCGGGUCGCCCGGGUUUGGCCGGGCUGUUGCCACAGCCGGUCUUUUAUUAAACCCGAACCGGUCCAGCCACCGGGUAGACCGCCGGGCCGGGCCGGGUUUAAUAACUAUGGAUGGAGGGAUGCGUUUUGAUCGAUUGUCAUGCUUCGUAGCAGUUUCUGUAAGGACAAACAUGUAGGAAUGGGCCACCCUCCCUAAAGUCUACAAGAGGGCCACCCUGUACUGUAUACUAUUGUCGUUUGUGAUGUGACUGCCCUUAAUUUUAAGGCACUGAUUAUAUAUAAGAUAAUUUUAGUUUAAUUAUUUUGGUCUAACGAUUUGGUGUGUGUUUAUAUUAAAAAAAAAAAAAUUUAGUGAUUAUGAAAUUAAAAAUAUAAAAAACUAUUUUAAUUUAUUUUUAAAUAAAAAUACAUUUAAAAAGUAUUGUGCAUCAUGAUAGUCUUGUUAUUGUUCCACGUAGUCGUCGGUCAACAUUGACACUUGAGUUAAAAAGUGGUCUGAAUUUCGUGGAAGGAAGGGAUCGAUUGUUACACUUCUUAGCAGCCACUGUAAAGACAAACGAGUAGGAAGGGGCCACCCUCCCUAAAGUCUACAAGAGGGCCACCAUGACUAUAAACUAUGGUCGUUUGUGAUGUGACUGCCCUUAAUUUUAAGGCAAUGGUUAUACAUAUAAAAGAUAAUUUUAGUUUAAUUAUUCUGGUCGUUUGGGUUUGAAUUUUAAAAAUGUGUUUAUCUAAAAAAAUAAAAUUUUAUUGUCUUCUUCUAUGAUUUUAACAUGCUGAUAUUACAGUUAAAAAAAUAUAAAAACUAUUUUAAUUUAUAAAAAAAAUACAUUUAAAAAGUAUUAUACACCAUAAUAUUAAAACACAAUUCGAGCAAAUUUUUUUUUUCUUUACAAUGUUUGUUCUAUUGGGAUAUUAUAUGUAUUGGUCAUUGUGGUACAAAGUCCUUUUAAAAAUAUUUUUUACUUCAAAAUUUAUUAAAAUGAUUUUUAUUUAUUUUUUAUAUUAAUACAUUAAAAUCAUUAAAAUAUAUUAAAAAAUAUAUCAAUUUGAUAUUUUUUUAAGUGAAAUAUUUUUAAAACACAUCAAAAAAUAGAAAUUAUCACACUUUUAAACACUAAUAGCUCAUCAUGACCAAUUUAUUAUUCCAUGGAUGAGAAAGAGAAUCGGAUAUACAUGGAGGCUAUUUGGGGUUGAUGUGCAACCCUUUCAAGAUUUUUGAAUUUAUUUUAUUUAAAAUUGUAUUUUUUAUAGUGAUAUUAAAAAUAAUUUUUUUAAAUAUAUAUAUAUAUAUAUAUAAUUUUAAUAUAUUUUUAAAUAAAAAAUAUCAUAAAAAUAAUCUGCACCUAACUCAGCUGUAAACUCGUCACAAGUAUACCAUGUACAUGCAUGUAUCAAAAACCAGCUGAACAAUUUGGUCAAAAUACGUGUACUUUCUUGAUGAUAAAAUUAAUGGCUUUAUGGAAAUGAUGAUUGUUAGAAAGAUUUGAAGUCAUUGGUGAUAAACUCAAAGAAUAAGGAUGAUUAAAACUCUUCUGUUCAUUUAAUUUUGUUAUAUAAAAUAAAUAAAAUUUGAUCAAAGUCAUGGUAACUUGAACCCAAAAAUACUUAGAGGUGACCUCAGCCUUUCGUCGUCGGUAUCAAUUUUCCCCUUCUUCCUGGCAAUGUAUGAGUGUGAAUGUGACCUCCUUGUCUUGCAAAAUUUCUAUGCCCCGCCACCCGGCUUGCUGUCCAUUUGGGCAUCUUUCAUUUGUCAUCCACAGUUGACCUCUAUAGUCAACUCCAUCAUUUCGUGAUUAUUAGAAAACAAAAAUAUGUUAACGAGGGUGGGGGCAGAGCGAGUUGUGUUAACCUACGAAGAUGAGGAGAAAGGGUGAAUAAUACUUCUAUUUAUUUGAUGAAAUUUUUUGUUAGUAUUUAUAUUAUUAUCUUAUUAAUAAUUAAUUUAUUAAUUAAAUUACAUAAGAAAAUAUUUUGUUAGUGAAUAAUUCAUCAGUAAUUUUUUAUUUAUUGAUAAUUAAAAAAUAUUAUUAUCGAUGAAUUUACUGACAAGAAAAUCACAUAAAAAAUAAAAUUAUUCACUUUAUUCCAUUCGUAUUUCACUCAGAAGAUUGUCAUAGAACAAAAAAAAAAAUAACAUAUGCAAUUUUGUCGUUGAUUAUUUAAAAAUAUAUAUUUAAAAAAAAUCUAUUUAACAAAAAAAGAAAAUAAUUAAAUUAAUAUAAAUUAACACUUCAUAAUGCUCAGAAUUGAAUUGCUUGGAAAAAAGAGAGAAGAAAAUCAACUCAAACAAAUUUGCAACACAUAAAUAACACAAAAAAAAUAAAACAACAACAACAUUGAUCUUAUAUGAAAAAACAUCCUACAACAAAUAUUCAUACAAUUAUUAAGAACAAAUUUUUUUAAAAAAAAAAUAUAAUAAAAAAAACACAUAAAAAAAAAUCUUAACUUAAUAUAGUUGCGAGUGAAGUUGAGAAGAAAAAAAAAUUAAUUAAGUAUGUUAAUUAAAAAAACUGAGAAGAGAAAAGAAAAAAAAAAGAGAAGAAAACAUACUUAAGAGUGAAGGAGAAGAGGAGUUAAGGAGAGAAGGGAAGGGAAGAGAAAGAAAAAAAGAAAUGUUGAUGUUUUUAUAUAACAGCAAAAAGAAGAAGAAGAAAAGGAAGAAGAAGAAGAGGUCCAUCUGUUGUGAAAUGACGAAUUCUAUUUAUUGGGACAUUUUAUCUACGGUUUUAUCGAUAGAUAAUUAAAUAUUAAUAUUUCUAACCAUUUUAUCGGUGACUUUUUUUGUAAUAUUUAAUUUAAAUUUUCAAUGUAAUAAAAAAAUUCAGAGACCACUAAAUAUCAUCGAUAACUUUUCAAUCAAUUGGUGAUUCCAUCUGUAAUAUUUAAUUUACUCAAAAAAUUUUAGAAACCCACCAAAUAACAACGACGACUUUUUAAUUCGUUGGUGAUUUUGUCUAUAAAAAACAUUAAUUAACAUUGCAACUGGAAAGUGAUAUGGAAAAUAAUGACAGAAUGUUUCGUUGGUGAUUCCCUUUGUAAUUGAUAUGAUAAACAGUGUUAGGGAGAAGUGAACAAUUUACCAAUGAUUUUACCGACAUAAUUAAUUUUGUUGGUAUAAAUGACAUGUCAUCAUAUUUUUUGGCUUUAUUUUAAUUUUUUUUCCAUCAUAAUUUUUUCGGUAUAUACCAAGAAAAUAUUUUUAUCAGUAAAAUUCGCUGCAAUUUAUCAAUGAAAAUAUUUCGUUAAUAUUUCAAUUUGUAUUUAUUAAUUUUCUAGUAAUGAAAGUUGCUGUUAACACCUAAGUUACUGAGGAUUUGUAGCUCCGCUAGUAAUUUAUAACUCUUCGAUGCGUAAACCAUAAUAACCCGUUUGAUAUAUGUAGUCGUGAAAAUAUUAUAAGCAAAAAUAUUGCAUAAAAACUAAAACCACCAUUAGAAUAUUGAACCAUAUAUAUAAAACGGGAUGGAUUGAGGUGAAAUGUGAUAAAAGUAACUCAAUGUUUUAAAUUUUCUUUUUUCAUUGGCAAGUAUAGAGAUGAAGCAUGUUGUGAUAUAAUAGAUAUUGAUGCUUACAGUCUUAUAUUUGAUAGGUCUUGGGUAGAGAUAAUUUGUAUAAACUCAGUAAAGAUACUGCAAGUUUUUACUAUUGUGUUCUUGAUGAAAAAACCUCAACCCAAAGCUUUUAAAAUGAAGUAUUUCUUUAUUGUCAUCAAUUCAGAGCAUGAGAUAUUUAUUAGACAGUUAAGCCUUUACUUGGUGAAUUUGAAAUAAUGCAAAUUUUACUCUUGUGUGUUAAAAAAGAAAUCCCAACCAAAAGCUUCUAAAGAAGAGGAGAUGAUCUUCCUUUCUAUAACCAAUUAAGAACAUAAUAUGCUAAAAUGUAUACGAAAAACUAGACAUUUUUACAAAUUAAUUGUGAAAGCAUUGGUGGUUGAGAAGAGUUAGGUAGACAUUUUUCAGGCGAUUAAACUUGUUUUUGGUGAAUUUUAUGAGAUUCUAUAGAUUAAUUAAUAGGAGAGUUACCACUAAUGAGAGGUAUUCAACAUAAGAUAGAUUUGGUAUCAAGAGCUAACCUUCUAAAUCUACCAUAUUAUAGAAUAAAUUCUAAAAAGCGUGAGAUAUUAAAGGAUACAAUAAAUGAGUUGUUGAGAAAAAGCUUGACAAUUUGAUUCAAAGUAUUUACAUUGACAAGUCAAAAUAGUAGGAUGUUGCACUUGAAAAGUCAGAAUUCAUAUACAACAAUGUCGAACAUAAUACAAAACGUAAAACAUCAUUCAAAAUUAUGUAUCUGUAGUGUCCUAGGCAUGUACUUUAUCUUGUAUCAAUAUAGAAAGGUAUUGAAUAUAUGUAACUGUUAUAAAAAAGAUAAUUGUGAAUACACUAUGAUGUUUUGUAUUAAAGGGAUAGGAAAAGCCUAGAAAGCCCUUGAAGGCUUAGAUGUAGGAAUAAAUUAAAUAAGGGUAUAGUAGUAAUUGGAUAAAUAAUUGAUAAAUAUAAAUAGGAAGUAAAAAAAAAAAAAAAAGAAAGUGAUCUGAAAUUAGAGAGCAAAACCGUGAGAGAGAAGAGAGAAAGAAGAAGAAGAGAAAAGAAGGGAAAAUAAGGGAAAAAGGAAGAGUUUUGGAGGAAAUAAGUGAAAAAGGUAAGAUUUAGGUUGUUUAAUGUGUAUAAUAUGUUAAUUAAGCUUUAAUUUCAGUUUUUAUGAAUGUUAGGGUUUUGAGAAUUUGUGUUUGAUUUAAAUUGAUGAAUUAAAUUGAAGGUUAGGGGUUGAUUGUUGUGUUUAAUUGAUGAUUUAGUUGAUUAUGGAAGAUUAUGAUGAUUUUGAGUUAUAGAAUUGUGUAAAUGGUGAAAAUUGAGUUAGAAAUCAGGGGAGAACAGUGGGGUUUCUGUUAAAAUCUGGACUGGAGGUUGAAGAUGACGAAAAUUCAAUUUGGUCCCUCAAUUUCCGAAAAUUUCAGUUUAGUCCCCGAACUUUGGAAAAUUACAAAUUGGUCCCUGGAGCAUAUUCCGAGAUUCUGAACAGAAUAGAAUAUGAAUUAUGGACAGAAUUACUGUAUAGAUAAGAUAAUUUAACACUUUCAAUUUAGUCCUCCAAUUUGAUAAAAAGUACGAUUUGACCCUAAAAAUUUAGUAAAAUUCCAGAAUGAUCCCUGAAGCAUAAUGAUACAUCCUGGACAGAAUUGAGGAUUUAUUUAAGGUCAGAAUUUCAGUAUAUUCAUGGAUUUAUGACAAAUUUCAGUUUGGUCCUCCAUUUGACAAAAGUUACAUUUUGGCCCUAAAAAAUGGAAAAAUUCCAGAUUAGUCCCUAGCUGUAAGAUUAGCUUUUUCAGAUUAGUUUGAUGAAUAAUUAAGGGUUAUUUAGUGAAUUAUUACCAAUUUUAUUAGUUGUUUUUAUUAUGGAUUAGAUUUCGGGAAAACCGUUAGAUUUUGGGUUUUUAAGAAAAUUGACUAGUUAGUUCAAAAAUAUAUAGGGUUACGGAAUACACCCUUAGUUAAGUGUAUUAAAUAGGUUAAAUGUUCUUUCGAGUCGUUCUUGAAUAUGUCUCCUUUGUAUUCAGAUAAUCCUGAUAUUCUACCGGCAGGACGUCAGUAGAAUUUCCUUCGGUUUCAGCUUGUGUGUGCUGUUUGCUUUUGAGUCAAGUGAGUGGAUAAUUUUCCAUAUGCAUGAGAAAUAUUAUAAAUAUUUGAUUUGUUAAUAUGAAUUGGAUCAUGCUUCUUGAUAAUAUAUAUGCUGAUUAUUAUCCUUGAUAUGAUAAAGCAUGAUCAAUUAUUGAAUCUGAUUUCUUGAUAUGAACCAAUAUGAUUUGACUUCUGAAUUGAUAGCUCCUCAUUUGAUGGAUGUCAUGAGUUGAGCUUUGAGAUAUGAAUAUGUUUGUUUGAUUAUGAUUAUGAACCUAUGGUAUGUCAGUCAGAAUACCCAUGCUAACAGGGUAGUGUUAGUCUUUGUGCACAUCGUAUCUGAACCCUAGUUGGUCGGGGGAGUCACCAACCUGUGUGGACUGAUCAUCCCACAGUACGGAGCCUCAUGCUCAUUGCAUUUUGAUUUUCUGACAAGUUUUACCAUAUGAUAUUCUUGUUAUGGCCUAUUUUGAUAAACCUUCGUAUAAGAACUAAAGCCAUACUUGUAUAUAUAUUUCUCAUUGUUAUAUUACCUCGUAUGUGUAUAUUGAAUGUUAUCUACUCACUGAGUUGUUGAACUCACCCUCUCAUUAUUUAUCCUUUUCAGGCUUAUAGCUUGAUAGCAGGUUACUUUUGUUGAACCUUCCGAACCUGCCUUUUGGUUGUAAUUUGUACCUUCCUUUUGUGUCAAGUUAGUGCUCCAAAACUAUGAAAUUAUUAACUCUUGUAUUAAGACAAUCGAAUUAUAUUAUGAAGUUGUUUGUUGUUAAUACUGCGUUAAACUCUGAUUGAGUUGUUUAAAGGAUUGUAUGUAAGUUUGGGUUCGCAUAGGUUUGGAACCUUGGAGGGGAACCUUGCCUAUGUGCCGGUCAUGGAUCCGGGAUUCGGGUCGUGACAUACACGGACUAUACAUAUAAAGAUGAGAAACAAAUUGCAACAAAUCCAUGUCAAAUACAAGAAGAUUGUCAAUAAAAACCAUUAACUGUGCUUAAGUAUUUGAGGAAUGAGAUAUGUUGAUGAUUUACGCGGUAACUUGCAAGGCUGAGGAACACAGAGCAGGGGGGGAGACACUCGAUAACAAGCAGAGGUAUAUUGAAAAAUCUAUCAAGAGUUUAGCUAACAUGUAAUAGAGAACUGGAUAAAGAAAAAAUUUAAACCAACGGUGCUGUCCUGUUAUAUGAACUUUGCUCCACAUUUGGCACCGACCCCUCAUCAGUCUCGUUCUCUCCAGACAUCUCCUCCAAGGAUUUUCCGUUUGAUUCAGGAACCAAGAAAGUAAACAAUAUGCCGAAGAAGUUGACGACACCGAGGACAAGGAGUGAAUUCUUCACACCGAUACCUGCAGGGUACCCUGCAUCGGCCAGGGCCUUGUCCUUGUUCUGGGCCAAAUAUAAGAACCCGAAUGCACCCACAAUUGCUCCGAGUUUCCCAGAAGCUGCUGAUAUACCGUGGCAAGUGGACCUUAACCUUGCAGGGAAAAUCUCGGCUGGUACAACAAAUGUGGUGGCAUUAGGUCCAAAGUUUGCAAAGAAGAAGGUCAAUGAGUACAUAACCACGAAUCCAAUUCGGUUGUCCUUGUGGGUCCAGUGGUUGUAAGGAAUGGCCAGCGCAAACAUGAACACUGUCAUGAAGAAGAAACCCAUCAAUUGGAUUGCAAACCGUCCUAUUCUGUCGAUAAAAGCCACCGUGAACCAGUAGCCUGGGACAGUACUGCAUAGAGCGAUAAGUGUUUGCGCCCUCGCAAUUCUAUAAACCUCGUCGAUGGCAUUCAUGGUCUGUGCUUUGGGAAUCCAUCCGAUCGCGCUAAAUAUAUCCUUUUGGAAAAGAUUUUGGCUGUAGAAUGCAAUGUCAAGCAAGAACCAUGUGGUUGUUGUUCCAAGCAAGUGGAGUCCAUGGCGAUGAAGGAACUUUUUUGAGAACAGACCAAAUUGAUUGGACUUGUCCUCGGUCAGUUGCUCGACCUUCUGCUCUUCCGCCUCAAGAUCCACCUGCAGAACUCUUGACAUAUCAGUCGCAGCCUGUUUUGCAUUCUUGGCGACAAGCGCAGUGUAACGGGCAGUUUCAGGCAUCUUCAUCCUCCAGUAGUAGGUAAGUGCAGCGGGAAGAGCUCCAGCCAUUACAAUUAUACGCCAAAUGUAGUCAGCUUGUGGGACAGUUGAGGCAACCGCAUUAACCUCGUAAGAUGGAGCAUCAAACCUGGCCUUAAAUGCAGAUGAUACAAUUAUAGCAAAUAUGCCACCAGCCAAAAUUCCAAAACCUUGCAUCGCAAAUACUGCAGCAAUGAAGGCACCACGAGUCUUCUUGUUAGCAUAUUCAGACAUGAUGGUGGCAGAGAGUGGAUAGUCACCACCAAUACCGAACCCGAGCCAGAAACGAAAGAAGCAAAGGGUCGAUAUGACAGCCUUAGCAUCAUGGCUGAAAGAAAGACCCGAGGCAAC